AGCGAACGCUGGCGGCAGGCCUAACACAUGCAAGUCGAACGAACCUUUCGGGGUUAGUGGCGGACGGGUGAGUAACACGUGGGAACGUGCCUUUAGGUUCGGAAUAACUCAGGGAAACUUGUGCUAAUACCGAAUGUGCCCUUCGGGGGAAAGAUUAAUCGCCUUUAGAGCGGCCCGCGUCUGAUUAGCUAGUUGGUUGAGGUAAUGGCUCACCAAGGCGACGAUCAGUAGCUGGUCUGAGAGGAUGAUCAGCCACAUUGGGACUGAGACACGGCCCAAACUCCUACGGGAGGCAGCAGGGGGGAAUCUUGCGCAAUGGGCGAAAGCCUGACGCAGCCAUGCCGCGUGAAUGAUGAAGGUCUUAGGAUUGUAAAAUUCUUUCACCGGGGACGAUAAUGACGGUACCCGGAGAAGAAGCCCCGGCUAACUGCGU
rnacentral:rRNA from 1 species